AGCUGCAUGUAUUAAUGUAUUUUGCAUUGUGCAAUAUGCAUGCAUGUGCAUAGCUGCAUAAUAUUUGCUCGUAUCAGUUUUUUACCGUACUUGUUCGAAACAUGACGUAAACAGAGUUGGAAAUGAGAGUUUAAUUCUAAAAACAAUGAUGAAUGGAUGAAAUAUUUAGUCAAGACUGGAAUUUAGAUGGAAUAUUCAACUACAUAUUCAUAAAAACUAAAUAAAAGUGCUCCUACAGAACAAGAUCACCCAAGUAAGUGUAAAAAGUAAUUCAUCCUUUAAGACAUUUUAUGUGCUGUAUUUAGAUUUUAUAGAUAAAACAACUGGAAAAGAGAACGAACUUGCACUGGUUGAAUAAACAAGAAGGCCAAGAUGGCCCGAGGUCGCUCACGUGAGAAACACACCAUAACAGUGUAAAUAUGUUUGACCUAGUGAUUUCAUGGAAACAAAUAUUCUAGCCAAUUUUCAUUUAGAUCGGACCAAAAAUGUGGUCUCUUGAGUUUAAACAAGUAUUUUCUUAGAUAUGACCUAGUGACCUAGUUUUUGACCCAAAAUGACCCAUAUUCAAACUUGACCUAGAUUUUAUCAGUGCAAUCAUUCUAACCAUAUUUCAUGAAGAUCAGUUGAAAAAUACAGUCUCUAGCGCAAACACAAGGCUUUUCUUUGAUUUGACCUAGUGACAUAGUUUUUAACCUAAGAUAGCUCAUAUUCAAACUUGGCCUAGAUUUCUGACCAAACUUCAUGAAGACCAACUGAAAAAUACAAAAAAUACAGUCUCUAUCGCAUAACAAAGGGUUUUCUUUGAUUUGACCUAGUGACAUAGCUUUUGAUCUCAAAUGACCCAUAUUCAAACUCGACCUAGAUUCAUCAAAAUUAUCAUCCUGACUAAAUUUCGUGAAGACCAGUUGAAAAAUACAAAAAAAUAUACAGUCUCUAUCGCAUACACAAGGGUUUUCUUUGAUUUGUCCUAGUGACCUAGUUUUUGACCCCAGAUGAUCCAUAUUGUAAUUCGACCUAGAUUUCAUUAAGGCAAUCAUUCUGACAUAAUUUUAUGAAGAUCAGUUGAAAAAUACAGUCUCUAUCGCAUACAAAAUGUUUUUCUUUGAUUUGAACUAGUGACCUAGGUUUUUACCCCAGAAAUUCAAACUUAGCCUAGAUUUCAUUAAGGCAAUCAUUCUGACCAAAUUUCAUGAAAAUCAAUUGAAAAAUACAGCCUCUAUCGUAUACACAAGGUUUUUCUUUGAUUUGACCUAACGGCCUAGGUUUUGAUCUCAGAUAAUCCAUUUUCAAAUUUGGCCUAGAUUUCAUCAAGACAAUCAUUCUGACCAAAUUUCAUGAAGAUCAAUUGAAACAUACAGCCUCUAUCGCAUACACAAAAUUUUUUCUUUGAUUUGAUCUAGUGACCUAGUUUUUGUCCCCAGUUAACUCAUGUUCAAACUUGACCUAGAUAUCAUCAAGGCAAUCAUUCUGACAUAAUUUUAUGAAGUUCAAUUGAAAAAUACGGCCUCUAUCGCAUACAAAAUGUUUUCCUUUGAUUUGACCUUGUGACCUAGGUUUUGACCCCAGAUAGCCCAUAUUCAAAACUUGGCCUAGAUAUUAUCAAGGCAAUCAUUCUGACCAAAUUUCAUGAAGAUCAAUUGAAAAAUACAGCCUCUAUCGCAUACACAAGGUUUUCCUUUGAUUUAACCUAGUGACCUAGUUUUUGACUCCAGAUAACCCAUUUUCAAACUUAAUCUAGAUUUUAUCAAGAUAAUCAUUUUGACAAAAUUUCAUGAAGAUCAGUUGAAAAAUGCAGCCUCUAUCGCAUACACAAUGUUUUUCUUUGAAUUGACCUAGUGACCUUUUUUGACCCCAGAUGACCCAUUUUCAAACUUGGCCUAAAUUGUAUCAAGACAAUCAUUCUGACCUAAAUUCAUGAAGAUCAACU